UACAGAGGUCCCAAGCGUUGUUCGGAAUUAUUGGGCGUAAAGGGUGCGUAGGCGGUUUUGUAAGUCUUGUGUGAAAUCUUCAGGCUACAUAUGAGCUGCACGAGAAACUGCAGGGCUUGAGUGUGGGAGAGGUGAGUGGAAUUCCUGGUGUAGCGGUGAAAUGCGUAGAUAUCAGGAGGAACACCUGUGGCGAAAGCGGCUCACUGGACCACAACUGACGCUGAUGCACGAAAGCUAGGGGAGCAAACAGG
rnacentral:rRNA from 1 species